rnacentral:misc_RNA from 1 species
CAAACGGAGCCAAGGAAAAUGCAGCACGUGAAGCCAUGGGGGCUCAAGGACUCGUUUCGAAUGCUACUACAGUUGAUCCAAAAUCAGCUGCAUAUGACAUUAACUCAGAAACUUCAAAAUCUUCAUCAUCAACCAUCAAUGCUGUUGCUCCUGCAAACCCACCCUCAAUUCCAAAUUCAACUGUUGUCCCAACUGCUGAGACGGGUCUAGAUCCUGCUGCAGAGGGCCCUGUAUUUGGGGUGUCAGAUGAUGACUGAACUUGUAUCUUCAUAUUCUACAUAUCCUAUCCUUUUUUCUCAUUACCCUUACUAAUAUUAUGGCAUCUGAAAGUUGGAGGCUGUUAAACUUCAAUUGAUGCCAAAAUGCGUUAAUCGAGGGAAAAAUGUCAGCUCGCUUGCUUGUUGGAUGUGAAAUCUUUUCAGUUGGUUUACAAAAUAAUAUGCAAUUGGAGGAAAUAGAGGAGUACCUUGCGGAAUUGGUAAUUUUAGCUUCUUGUUAAUUUUUCAAUGUAAAAUAAUUGUUCUUGGAAUAAAUAUUU